ensembl:lncRNA
GUUAAAUAAUAUUCUUGCAUGACCAGAAAGUUUAGGUUUGUAUAAAUAUUUAAAAUGCAUUUAUAAAUUGAUUUCAAUAAAAGUUUUCAAUAAAGGGUAAGGCUUAUUCAUUUUAUUUUAUAGGUUGUGUGUGUUUUGUUGUUUUCUUUCUUUCUUUUGUUUUUGUUUUGUUUUUUCAUUUUCUUUGUUUUUGGAAAAUUAGCUUUCAGGUUACCAUCAUAACUUCACUUGGUGUUGCACCUAUAGAAAACAACCACGAAGAAAUGUUCCAUUCAGCAGGCCAAUCACAACUCACAUUUCCUUUAACGGAAAAUGUUCAUGUGUCAUGACAUCUGUUAAUAGGACGUGUUGCUGUCUUCUAACUCCAAGUUAUCGUCAUUAGACAUGGACGGGGUGCAUGCAUUUCUGGUUGUUCUUUUCGGUAAAUCGUCUAAACAUUUUGAAGAUAUCCAUUUUGGUCCCAUUUUAACAAUGAGCAUUUUUUCAUUCUGAAUUUUUUUUUUUUAAAUGUGCAUAUGUGAACAUUUUUUUGUUUCUAUCUUCCAGGAGCUUUAUCUUCGAGUCAAGAUCUGAGAAAUGAAUCAGUGAUAGAGAUGAGAGUGAGACCAGGAGAAAACAUCACUCUCUACUGUGAUUGUAAAUCAUCAGUUGGAGUAUACAUAGUGUGGUACAGGAAUUGUUCUCAUGAGAAGCAGCCUUCCCUGGUAUUAAAAACCAGGCUGGAUCAGAGAUAUGGUGCCCCACACUCAGAUUAUCAGUCUACUUUCUUCCAUCUCCUGAAUCCAUUUCCUGAUUUUCAUCUGGUAAAGAACAAUUUCUCUCAAUCUUAUGACCUGCUGAUCACAAACAUCACUGAGACUGAUGAAGGCCUUUACUACUGCGGAACUGAAGAGCUCAAGGUUAAGGAUGAAGAAAAAAUUAUCCAAAGAUAUGUGCGCACAUAUAGUAAUAUCACAACAAAGAUCCUGCUUCAUAAGGAUUCUGGUUCAAGUGAGAACCGCUGUUUUACAGCUUCAAGUGAGCACCAUCAUGAAACUUGUUGGAUUCUACUUUAUUCCUUGUGUCCAGCUUUUGCUGUUAUCUCAUCACUUCUCUCUUCUCUUUUGAUUUAUUACUGUCAGAAGACAACUAAGACACCUCAGGAUGAUGAGAAAAGAUACAGCAAAAGAGUACAGAAAAGAUGGAAUGAGGAUGAAGACUUAUGUUUAACACAAGUGUUGUUCUGGGCUCAGGAUGGAUAUAAACAUCAAUAAACAAGAUGAAGAAAACAGUGGGAAUUUUCCACAUUUUCACAGAAAAAUUAAAAUCCCAGUGUAUUACUUAAUAGUUGUGACUUGCCAGUCUUAUUGUCAUGGUCCGGAGUCUGGUGAUUCCAUGUUUGUGUUUUUUGAUUAUUAAUAUUCUUUAGUUAGUUUCUGCUUUUCUUUAAUGAUUUUAAGAUCUUAGGUUUUGUCAUUGUGCCUCUCUUGUGUCUCACGUCUUGUCAAGUUAUGUUUUCAUGUUUGUGCUUCUCAUGGUUUUCUUGUCAAGUCUGUUUCUCCAUGCCUGACUUGUCUUUCCUAUUUUACUUUGAUAGUCUUGUGUCCUGUGUUCAGUGUUUUGAGUUCUGAUUCCCCCUUGUCUCAUUAUGACAGAUUAGUCCCAAUUGUGUUUCCCUCCUGUUUCCCAUUCCCUCAUUACUCCCUUGUGUAUUUAAACCAUGUGUUUUCUUCUGUCCUUUGUUGUGUUGAACACCCUCGUUGCUGUGUGUCUCCUCUGUGCACCUGACAAUUCCUAGUUUUCUGCUCUUGGUUUGUUUUCUAGUUUUGAGUUUCUUGUUUCUAGUUCCCAG